rnacentral:lncRNA from 1 species
UGUAAAUAAAACCAAGGAAGAGCCCCGGGGCAGUUUCACAGUCAGUGCCCAAGCAGCCCCCAUAGUCAGCAGGAACCUGUAGAUCCGUGAUGACUGCAAUCUUGAAUACAGAAAGCCUGUGCUGACAUUUAUGUUCAACACCCCUAGAGGCACCUGCCCUAUGCCCGUAGGAGCAUUUUUCACAAAAGCCAAAGGCACGAGCCAUCUGGUCUGUGAAGAAUUGUGCUGGGAUUUUGAUGGGGAUUGCAUUGAAUCUGUAGAUUGCCAUUGGACAUCAGCUGACCUCAGCCACUGACGUUCAUGAUCGCAGGUCAUGCUUCCUCUUAAGCAGUGACAUCAGCCUCAUCAUAAACCCUGUUAUCAGAUCGAAGACCCUCUCUUCCUGUCAGCUUCAAAACAGUGACAGGAAAUGGAAAAGGGGAAAACACGUGGGAGUCUGAGGCCAGUCACUAAGCCUCUGGCCGAAGAGGAAGGAAAUGACACAGGACACCUGUGCAGCAGCAGGAGCCAGGCUGGCCCCACUCGGAUGUCAUGCAAACAAGGGUCAUGCUGCCAUCGAAUACCGAGCAACGUCCCCACCCACCCAGGCUGGUAAUGUGGCUCCUCGAAGUUCUCAUUUCCACACCCUGUCCUCCUUCCAGAAACAUCUCUUGGGACACAAGUUCUUGCCUUACUUUUUUUCCUUGAUAGUCAUGAACAAAUGUCCCUUUACCGCACAUACAGCACCAAUUACAG